rnacentral:RNase_P_RNA from 3 species
CCAGAGGGUCGGGCGAUCGCCGCCGCGCAAGCGGGGGAGGAAAGUCCGGGCUCCACGGAAACCACGGUGCCGGAUAACGUCCGGCGGCUCCGGGAAGCCGGAGCAAGGGAAAGUGCCACAGAGAGAAGACCGCCAAAGGCCUCGGCCCGGCGAAAGGUGAAAGGGUGCGGUAAGAGCGCACCGCGCGGACGGCAACGGACGCGGCACGGCAAACCCCACCGGGAGCAAGGUCGAAUAGGGAUGGCACGGAUUUAUCCAGGGCUGGUUCCGGCCCCGCCGUCCGGGUUGACUGCUUGAGCGUCCGGGCAACCGGCCGCCUAGAGGAAUGAUCGCCCAUCCCCCGUCAAAAGGGGUGGACAGAACCCGGCUUACAGACCCUCUGGCAUU